CUUGCCUUUGAAGAAAAUGAGGUGCUCUUGAAGAAAAAAUCACCAAAUAUUCUUAAGUAAAAGUUACUCUUAACAAUGCCUUGGGAAAUUCCUUGAACAAAGGAAAAUUAUGGUGCCAAGAAAUUAAAUUGUAUAGAAACACUGCUAUGAGUUCCUCCAAUGAAGAGUCAACAUCUCGAAGAGCUAGAGAACUCGUUGAAAAAGGGGAACCAUCGCACGUCGCUCCAGCAACUUGCCAUCGAUUCCACCAAUAGCAUAGGCAAGAAACAUCUAGAGUAGCAGCUAGACUCACUAGAGAAGUAGCCAAUAUGAGGAGCAUAACCUAACAUAACAUUGUAAUGCAUGAGGUGUUGAGAGACAUGCAAGGUCAAAGAGGGUAUCCAAUUCCUCAUUAUGCAACUCAGGAGAACACAUUACAGGAUCCAUCCCAAGGAAAUUAUUACCACGGUGAAGAAGAGUUCCAGAGUAAAAUAGCAGGAUACCAGUAAUACACCAGGGAGGAUACCCUUCAAGAAAAG
rnacentral:lncRNA from 1 species